GAUGAACGCUAGCUACAGGCUUAACACAUGCAAGUCGAGGGACAGGCGCACGGGUGAGUAACGCAUAUCCAACCUACCCAUUACUGUGGGAUAACCUGCCGAAAGGCAGACUAAUACCGCAUAGUCAUGGAUGGGGAUGCGUGUGAUUCGCUUGUUGGCGGGGUAACGGCACACCAAGGCAACGAUCCGUAGGGGUUCUGAAAGGAAGGGCCCCCACAUUGGAACUGAGACACGUGCCAAACUCCUACGUGAGGCAGCAGUUAGGAAUAUUGGUCAAUGGGCGCGAGCCUGAACCAGCCAAGUAGCGUGCAGGAUGACGGCCUAUGGGUUGUAAACUGCUUUUGUAUGGGGAUAGGGACCAUACGAAUAAGGACCGGCUAAUUCCGUGCCAGCAGCCGCGGUAAUUC
rnacentral:rRNA from 1 species